AAGAUUAAGCCAUGCAUGUGUAAGUGCAAGCCGUACUAAGGCGAAACCGCGAAAGGCUCAUUACAUCAGUUGUGGUUCCUUGGACUGUACCCAGUUACUUGGAUAACUGCGGAAAAUCUGGAGCUAAUACAUGCCGACAGAGUCCCGACCAGAGAUGGGAGGGACGCUUUUAUUAGAUCAAAACCAAAAAUCCCCCUUCUCGGGGGAAAAGGUUUAAGGUGACUCUGAAUAACUUUGUGCCGAUCGCACGGCCUCCGCGCCGGCGACGCGUCUUUCAAAUGUCUGCCUUAUCAACUUUCGAUGGUAGGCUCUGCGCCUACCAUGGUUGUAACGGGUGACGGGGAAUCAGGGUUCGAUUCCGGAGAGGGAGCCUGAGAAACGGCUACCACAUCCAAGGAAGGCAGCAGGCGCGCAAAUUACCCACUCCCGGCUCGGGGAGGUAGUGACGAAAGAUAACGAUGCAGGACUCAUUCGAGGCCCUGUAAUCGGAAUGACUACAUUUUAAAUCUCUUAAGGAGUAUCAAUUGGAGGGCAAGUCUGGUGCCAGCAGCCGCGGUAAUUCCAGCUCCAAUAGCGUAUAUUAAAGCUGUUGCGGUUAAAAAGCUCGUAGUUGGAUCUGUGCCCCGCACCGCUGGUCCCCGCCUUGCGGAGCGACUAGCAGGUUUGUGGGGCGUCCUGCCGGUGGGAGGUCUUGCCGGCGGCGGCUGUCUCUGCUCGUGGCUUUUUCCGGUUCUGCGGUGUGCGCGCCCGCGUUCAGUCGGCCUGGCGACAGGUACGGCGGCGGUGCCGUCCCCAGUCCUCGGGGCCCGGGCGGGCCGUCGAUGCGCGCGCUCCCGGUCGAACGAUCCUGCCGAAGGUGCUCUUCACCGAGUGUCGAGGUGGGCCGGCAUGUUUACUUUGAACAAAUUAGAGUGCUUAAAGCAGGCUGGACUCGCCUGAAUGCUGUGUGCAUGGAAUAAUGGAAUAGGACCUCGCUCCUAUUUUCUUUUGGUUUUCUGGAGCAGAGGUAAUGAUUAACGGAGACAGGCGGGGGCAUUCGUAUUGCGACGUUAGAGGUGAAAUUCUUGGAUCGUCGCAAGACGAACAGAAGCGAAAGCAUUUGCCAAGGAUGUUCUCGUUGAUCAAGAACGAAAGUCAGAGGUUCGAAGGCGAUCAGAUACCGCCCUAAUUCUGACCGUAAACGCUGCCAUCUGGUUAUUCGCCCACGUUACAACUUACAUGACUGGGCGAGCAACCCUCGGGAAACCAAAGAUUUUGGGUUCCGGGGGAAGUAUGGUUGCAAAGCUGAAACUUAAAGGAAUUGACGGAAGGGCACCACCAGGAGUGGAGCCUGCGGCUUAAUUUGACUCAACACGGGAAACCUCACCAGGCCCGGACACUGGAAGGAUUGACAGAUUGAUAGCUCUUUCUUGAUUCAGUGGGUGGUGGUGCAUGGCCGUUCUUAGUUGGUGGAGYGAUUUGUCUGGUUAAUUCCGAUAACGAACGAGACUCUAGCCUGCUAACUAGUCGGAUCCGGCUUCCUUCGGGCAGCCGGCGAUGACAAAGAUCUUCUUAGAGGGACAGGCGGCUCUGAGCCGCAUGAGAAUGAGCAAUAACAGGUCUGUGAUGCCCUUAGAUGUCCUGGGCCGCACGCGCGCUACAAUGAGGACUGCAGCGCGUAUUCCUUGGCCGAAAGGUCCGGGUAACCGCUGAAAUGUGCUCUUAAUGGGGACUGUGGAUUGAAAUUAUUCCACAUGAACGAGGAAUACCCAGUAAAAGCGUGUCAUCAGCACGCUUUGAUUACGUCCCUGCCCUUUGUACACACCGCCCGUCGCUACUACCGAUUGAAUGAUUUAGUGAGGUCCUCGGACUGGCGCGCGAGAGUCCCGUAUAGGACCCUCGAGGCACCGGGAAGUUGACCGAACUUGAUCAUUUAGAGGAAGUAAAAGUCGUAACAAGGUUGCCGUAGGUGAACCUG
rnacentral:rRNA from 1 species